UUUCCGUAGGUGAACCUGCGGAAGGAUCAUUACUGAGUGAGGGCCCUCUGGGUCCAACCUCCCACCCGUGUUUAUUGUACCUUGUUGCUUCGGUGGGCCCGCCUCACUGCCGCCGCCGGGCAUCUGCCCCCGGGCCCGCGCUCGCCGAAGACACCCUUUAUCUCUGUCUGAAGGUUGCAGUCUGAGCGAAAACUAAAUAAGUUAAAACUUUCAACAACGGAUCUCUUGGUUCCG
rnacentral:misc_RNA from 1 species